rnacentral:rRNA from 1 species
GACGAACGCUGGCGGCGUGGAUUAGGCAUGCAAGUCGAACGGUAUCAUCCUUUCGGGGGUGAGAGAGUGGCGAACUGGUGAGUAACACGUAGGUUAUCUACCCUCAAGACGGGGACAACCCAGGGAAACUUGGGCUAAUACCGGAUGUGAGCAACUUUUAGUUGUUUGAAAGGUGGCGUAAGCUGUCGCUUGGGGAUGAGCCUGCGUCCUAUUAGUUAGUUGGUGAGGUAACGGCUCACCUAGGCAAUGAUAGGUAGGCGGCCUUAACGGGUGGUCGCCCACACUGGGAUUGAGAUACGGCCCAGACUCCUACGGGAGGCAGCAGUCGAGAAUAGUCUACAAUGGUCGGAAGACUGAUAGUGCGACGCCGCGUGAACGAUGAAUCCCUUCGGGGUGUAAAGUUCUUUUAUAUGUGAGCAGUGCUUCUUAUAUUAACAGUAUGGGGAGAGAGAUAUUAGCAUAUGAAUAAGCAACGGCUAACUCCGUGCCAGCAGCCGCGGUAUCUCG